UCGCACGCUACGAAUUGCUACGUUACGUAGCCUUCACGUUCCUCGUACAUUAGGUGCACUACGCGCCCGUGUCUUACCUGUGACUGUGACGUUAACGAAUCAACUAGAAUUGUCAGUGAGCGGUGUAAGUGCUACAUUAGAAAAGUAAAAGUGCUCGCAGUACAUUAUACCAGAAAAUAAGCUCACUCUGCUCGUAGACAUUAAGAAGAAGUUAGGUGUGAUUAAGAAUACUUGUUUAUCGUUCGAGUUUGAUGGGAACCAUGCAGGAAGGCGCAGGUGGAUAGCAUGAGAGCGCCUGCCACGGCGGCCUAAUGGCGCUUGUGCGCCGGAUACUAGGCGACGCCCAGGCGAAACUUCGCAAAAUGGUAGACGAGCAAGUAUCAGUGGGCACGAGAGUUGAGGCGGAUGCAGAGCCCGAGCCAGCGGACCCACUGAUAACGCCCGCAUGUUCAGCCCUCGACAGAAGCGAUGACCCACGCCCUAUCCCGCCAGAACGUCGCCUCCUCAUCAGCACUCUUGACAAACCGCGCAACGGAUCGCUGAACGGGGACAAAGAGGGCACGUUGAAUAGGUCUACGCGACUCACGAUCAAGAAUGGGAAGGAUAAUCCAUUUAUAGUCUCCUCCCCUGAUGACGAUAACAAGGAAAACCAGGCAAAUGGUAAAAUAGAUUCACCGGUGAAAUGGUCCACACAGAAUGGAAGCGACAGUGGAACUUACGCUGAAAUAGGCACUGCUGGGAACAGUAACAGCGACAGGAAUGUUUUAGAUCCCGCUGAUAGCUCUGAAGAAGAAGUCCCAUUGCCAGAUGCAACUUCCCCCGGUAGGAGUAGCGAUGGACCGGAACCUAGAGCUGAUAUUACGGCUACGCUUGAAGGAGGUUCCGGUUCCCCGGGUGGGCGAUCGGAUCGGUCGCGGCAGGAAGAGGUGCCCGCGUCCCCGGGGAUGCUCACCGCAGCACAGCUGGCCCGCCGGCUACGUCUUGAAAACGAACGUCUGCAGGCGGAACUGACGCGUGUACGGCGUUUGUUGGUAGCGGCUGCGGAGAGGGGAGAGGCGGGGAGUGCUUUGAUAGAGCGGGCCCAGGGAGACGCACAAGAGGGCCCACCUCUCGAUCCGCAGCAGUUGGAAAAGGAGCUUCUAUUGGCUAGAGAAGCUGUUAAUUCUUUGAAAGCCGACAAGAAGCGGCUCAAAGCGGAGAAAUUUGAUUUGCUGAAUCAGAUGAAGCAAUUGUAUGCGACUCUCGAGGACAAAGAGAAGGAGCUCAGGGACUUCAUUAGAAAUUAUGAGCAGAUGCGGUCGCGCAGCGGCGCGUCAUCGGCGUUGGGUGCUGAGCGCGCAGAGCGUGAGCGCGAGCGUGCGGCGCUGCUGCGACACGCGCGCGACGAGGCGGAACGCUCGCUGCAGCUCGCCGCCGCGCUCAGUGCGCGCGACACGCAGCUGCGACACGCGAGGGAACAACUUUUCGAAGCUCGAAGACAGUUGCAAGCCGCCGGCUGCCUGUCGGAAGGCGAGAGUGUGGCGUCGCUCGGAAUCGGUCCGCCGAUGCUCCUCGGUGGGCCGUCAGGGUUGAUCGGAGACCGCGGCAGCUGCAGCGCUGACUCUGGAGUUAGAGCCUUGUCAGUGACAGGUAGUAGUGAUGGCGGCGCCACCUCCGUAUGCGGCGGGAACCUCUCCGACUCCACUGCGGAAGGAGUUCCUCCGACCAUCGAUCCCUACGACACGGAUGCCGCCUCACUCGUUUCUUCAGCUCAUCCUAUAUAUCAACUGAGCACUCCGCGCGACUGCAGCCCGACUCUGUCGCCACACAACAGCGCGUCAUCCUUCACUCGCUCGAUAGACGCAGGAUCUUUGUCCAGGUCAGUAGAGCAAUUAUCGAGCCCGGGAGAGUGCGACUCUGGUCUGGUGGGUAUGAGAUCUCGCGCAAGCGGCUCAAAGGCCGGAAGAGGUAGGGGUUCUGCUUGGGGCUCGAUUUCGCGCGUGUUUGCCCGCAGCCGACACCGCACCAAGUCCGGCAGCGCGGCCAGCAGUGGACACGAGAGCGAGCCAGUGUACGCGGGAACAGGUGCAGGUCGCGCGUGGUCGCCGCUCGGCAGCGAAGCGGCGCUGCGCGAGGCGGCGUCACUGCCGCUGUCGCGGUGGCGCGCGCCCGCCAUCAUCGCGUGGCUUGAACUCGCGCUCGGCAUGCCGCAGUACGCCGCCGCGGUGGCCGACAACGUCAAGAGCGGAAAGAUCCGUGCUUUGAAUGGGCAGGUUCUGCUCGAGCUGACAGACACGGACCUAGAGGUGGGCUUGGGGAUCGCUCAGCCGAUGCACAGGAAGAAGCUGCGCCUCGCCAUCGAGGAAAGAAGGAGACCCGACCUCGUGCGCAACCCCAGUGUGGGACAACUAACACACGCCUGGGUCGCCGCAGAAUGGUUGCCAGACCUCGGUCUUUCGCAGUAUGCUGAGUCGUUCUUAGCUAACUUAGUGGAUGCGAGAAUGCUGGAUACUAUCAGCAAGAAGGAAUUGGAAAAGUACCUCGGUGUCACAAGGAAGUUCCACCAGGCAUCCAUCGUCCACGGCAUACAUCUACUAAGGAUAAUGAAAUAUGAUAGACAAGCUCUAGCGGUACGACGACAUCAGUGUGAAAACGUGGACGCUGAUCCACUGGUUUGGACCAAUCAGAGGUUUAUACGUUGGGCGCACAACAUUGACCUAGGCGAAUUUGCAGAUAAUCUCAAAGACAGCGGUGUCCACGGUGGCUUAGUCGUUCUAGAGCCGUCUUUCACUGGAGAGACAAUGGCCACAGCUCUCGGAAUACCACCAUCAAAAAGUAUUAUCCGAAGACAUUUAGUUGCAGAGUUUGAUGCUCUGGUUAUUCCUGCGAGGUAUACGAUAUUUUGCCAGGUGGAAGAACUGCAAGUGGAGGCUGCCCGAGCAUCCAUGUUGUCCACAAAGCAAAGAUAAAUCCAAAAAGAUCAAAAAACUCUCCUUCAGAAAAUAAAUGUCGCUUCGAUGUCCUUUUACGAUCUGUACCUAUGUAAAAUUUUCCUCGUUAAAAUACAUUGUAAAAGUGCUAUUUUUACACGAAACUAAAUAUAGUUACUUUCGCUGUAUACUUUUAUAGGAGUUUCUUCAAAUUGCUCGUCUGUAAUUAUCUGUCCUAAAAUUUUACGAGCGGUGAAGACUGAUAUGUAAUAGUAGGUAAACGCGGUUCGCAAGUCAUGUAUAACGAAGUUCGUAAUGAACACCUUCGGAAAGAUCCCUUCGCCUUUGUCAAUGUUAGAUUCGAUGUUCUCUCCCCGAAACCUUCCUACGCGCUGUAGUUUAGAUUUGUCACAUUAAUGUUAUUCGAAAAAUGAUCAAUUUGAUAAUUUUAGUAAAGUAUAUAAAAUACGAAGUACGAGUAGUUACUAUCUCCGUAAACGCAUUAAAUGCUUUACGUUAUAGGGGUCAACGCGCCCCUCGUCACAUUACGAAAUUAUAUUUAGUAACUUAUAUUACGAAAUUAUACUUUCGUUUUUAAUUAUUACACAUUUUAAAACAUAAUAGAAUAUUUGAAUUUCAUUAAAUAUUAUUAGAUAUAAAAACGGAACCAUUCACAAUAGCUUUAGGAUUAUAACAAUAAAUAGUAUUUAUUAAUAUUGUAAGAUAACUAUGUUUUUGACUUGUAUACAUUCAUAUUGUAAAGUUGAGAACGGUGUAUUAGUAUUAUUGUAACGCUAUCGAUUGGCAUAUAAAUGUGAAUAAAUCCUUAUAAAAGAUAAAUCCUAAGGGAUAUCGAGCCAAUUUCUUUUCUUGACCAUCAUCCCUAAACUUGGCGAUCCUUGCAUCGAGACGGAACGGAAUAUGUUCGGCCAUCAAAUAAGGAUGUUGGGACGACCCUUUUCGAGAUCAGUGGC